UUGUCUAUAAAAUUCUCAUACUUAUUCAAGGUACAUGAUGAAUUCUAACUAUUGAAAGGAGAAAUAAUUUGGCCACAAAAAUGGCUCUACUUUUGGUCUUUUUAUGUUUAACAAGGUGAAUAUAUGUUCUACUUAUAUUCAGCCUACUAAAUGCAUUUAUAUUUAAAUGCUUAAUUUAAUUGGACUUCAGUGAUGCAUUUACCUAGAAGAGUUAUAAAGCCGUUUUCUCUCUAUUUAGUGUUGCAAAUGUAAUAGGAAACCAAAAGAUACAUUCAGAAAACAAAUAGAAAGAUAACACGAAUUCUAGAAGGACAUCUAGAGGGCUAUGACAAUCGACUAUGGCCAGGAUCUGGAGCCUCCGUCUGAAACAUUGGCUUUAGCCAUAGGAGAAGGCUAAACUCUGUGUCUGAGUCGCCCGGCACUCGUGUUCCCGUCUUCCUUCAGGGCUCCGCCAUCCCACCCAACUGGCAGAGACAUUGAGUGAAUUUCUCUUGAGAAACACAAAACAUUUUCAACAGCGAGCUUGUGUACUCAGCUACAGAGGACUUGGUGUGCUGCACAUCUCCUUUGGACUGCUCACUCUCUGUGUUGCCAGUGUUGUCUUACAAGAGAAACAACAACUUGGUCUGGAAAAAAAAAAGCCCUAAAUAAAAGAA